rnacentral:lncRNA from 1 species
CUCUAAAUCAAGGGUCUUUUAUCCUUUUUCUACUCUGUUAACAAUGCUAAGACCUAGAUAGAUGACUAGACCACAUUGCAAAGAAAAUGAAAUUUUGAUGGCUAAUUGGAACUUUUAAAAUUUUUGGGGUCUAAGUCUAAUUAGCUCAAACUUGAAGGGGUGUCCCUAUAUUUUUUCAAAAAAAAAUCUCAAUCUUUGGUUGUUGUCAAUUUGAAGACUCAAAGUCUUCUUGAGG